AAGGAAUUGAUUGACCUAGGAAUGCUUCAAGAAGAAGAACAAGGGACUGAAGUAAGAGUCCCUGCAUCGUAUCUCCGGUUAUGUAUUCUUAAAUUGGAGAAACAAGAUUUUGUUUCUAAAACUGCAAACUCACCUGUGCGUUUAGGGAUCAGAGAUGAUGGAAGGGAUAUCUAUCCUAACGUUGAAGGCCUUCUAAUUCAAUCUCUAUUUAUUAUUAGUACACACCGUGAUUCUUCUUUUGAUUCUCCCCGAGGCCUUUCACGGGCCUAUAUGAGAAAUGUUUGUGGUAUGCACUUUCUGUUGGUGUUGGAUUUGGAUGGCUGGAUAGAGCGCUUACCUGAUGAAUUGGGAGACUUGAUUCACCUGAGGUACUUAGGCUUGUUUUACUCACAACUAGAUGAGCUUCCAGGGACUUUAGGGAAUCUUAAAAGACUGCAAACUUUGGAUAUAAGGGGGUGUGGAAAACUACGCAAACUACCAAUACAAAUUCUGCAUAUCCAGCAGUUGAGACACCUUCUAAUGUCCCACUGCUUUAAUGAUGGUGAAAUUAGAGUUCCGAAGGGCAUUGGAACAUUGGUAAAUCUUCACACUUUGUCUGGUAUUUAUGGUGGAGAUGAUAUUGCCAUGGAAUUGAUUGCCUUAACCCAGCUACGAGAGCUCGGCGUUAAGCGUGUGAGUGCCGAUCAUGCCAGUGAGCUGUUUGCAGCUAUAAAGAAGAUGGAGAACCUCACAUCCCUAUCGCUAGAAGCAGAGGGAAACUACUUUGAAGGUACUAUUUUUCCUGAAUCGGAUGCGUUUUCUCCUCCGCCACUUCUUCAAGAGUUUUCCUUACGUGGGGGUUUAAUUGAGAUGCCCGUUUGGUUUGCCUCCAUGGAAAACCUCACCCACCUAUCAUUAGGGUAUUCUAAUCUAUCCGAGAAUCCAACUUCAGUCCUUCAGUUGAUUCCCAAAUUGAAGCAUCUUAAACUCUGGGAAGCCUACAAGGCAAGGCACAUUGGUAAAGAAUUUUGCAAUGCAGGUGGUUUCCCUGUGCUGGAAACUCUCACAAUUGCUUCUGCGUUCCUGGCGGAAUGGACUGAAAUUGAAACUGGAGCUUUUCCACGUUUAAGAUAUCUUUGUUUUUAUUGCUGUCCAAGCUUGAUGUUUCUUCCUGAAGGGUUGCAGAACAUUUCCACACUUCAAGAUCUGUGUUUCUUCCCCUGGAAUCCAGACCUUAAAAGGCGAUUGAAGGGUGAAGAGAAUUACAAGAUCAAGCAUGUCCGAGUAUUUGGGAAGGUUUGAGAACCGUUGAUUUUCCAACCAAGAAAUGGAAAAACAUCAACCACAAUAGUUUCCAGAGGAAGUUUUUCGAGGAUGAAAUGCUUUUGCUUUACUCCUCAAAUAUCAUCUCCUGCUUUCUGUUCAUUUACUUCAAUAUUCUGGUGAUGUGUGCUAUCCUCUACUGUCUUGUAUACCUAAAUUUGUGCAAUCUCCAGCGGAGAAACCAGUGUCCUAGACUCCAAAAAAUCUAUCUUGAUGAUGAACGAUGUGUUUAUCUAUUUGCAUUUCCUUAAUAUCUGGAUUAUUAUCUAAUUAUUCUAUAGAAUUGCCCUUCUUCUAGAUUUCUCUCUAAGGAUUGAAUCAUUAGAAAAUCAAGGUUUUUUAUUCCUGUUUUUUUCGCUUGAAGUGGACUUGCUAGGUAAGAAACACGUCUAUUAUAUUGGCAGCAGUUCAUAUAAAUUAUACAUCCCAUUCCGUGUUUACAUAGAAUCAAAGGCGUAACAAAUAUUGUUUAUGCCUUUUAUUUUAUUCAAUUAAUUAAUUUUAUAUAUGUUUAUUUUUUUAUUAUUUAUUUAAAUAAAAUAUUAAUUUUUGUGAACAGAUUGUCUUGAAGAUCCAAGUUGCAAGAUCAAAUAUCUUGGUCUAUAUGCGACUUUUAACUUUUUAAUUUUUAUUUUUAUUUAUCAGUAAUGAUUAUUUAUUUAUUUAUUAACAUAUGUAUUUUUUAAUUUAUUUUAUUAGAUGUAUAAAUAAGUUUUUUUUAAUUUUGAUUAAAAACAAAACAUUGAAAAAAUCUACAUAUUUAUUUUUUUAUAAAAACCUCAAAGUUAAAUAGCUAUUAAAAACUAGCCGCCAUUGUAGGGUUUGAUAGAAAAGAUAUUGGGCUGGUAUAUCAUAUUAUUACUGUUAUUAACUAUUACCACUAUAUACUAAAAAAUAACAACAGUGCAUUAUUGUGCUCAAUUUGGACAGGACUUUUCAAGAACAAUGUUGUUUUUUUUUUUUUCAUUUUGAUCAUCAAAUAUUAUUAUGAUUAUCAGUAUUAUUGUUAUAUUCUUGCAAGUUAAAUUUAAAUUUACUAUUUUUUUAUAAGUUUAAUUUAUGCAUAUAUGAUCCCCAUAGUCUAAGAAUUAUAAGUUUCAAUCCUAGAUUUAUUUAUUUAUUUAUUUUAGUCUUCGAGUAUUGAAAGAUGUUAGAAAAAAAAAAAAAAAAGUCAGUUGAUCACGUUCUUGUUAUCAAAAAAACCAAUCUUGUUAUCAAUGAAUUUGUCUUACAAAUAUAAGUUCUAUGAAGAAGGUUUAGAACUUUUAUCCUGUUAAAAACACAUAUCAAGACUUAGAAAGUUUUUUUAUUUAUUUAUUUGGUUUGAUUUUAGAUUUUAGACAGAUUAAAUGGUGUUUUGGAGUUAACAUGAGUUUAAUUAGGUUCUUAAAAUGUUUCUUUUUUAAUGUUUUGAGAUAAAAAAUAAAUUGAAAAAUAAUAUUUGAAGCUGCAAAACUCAUACUUUAAAUUCAAAUCAUCAAAAUGGUAAAAAUUCAAACUAGAAUGUGGCACCCAUUGUUUCUUAUUAAAAAAGGAAUAUUAGAAAAAAUAAAGCAUGGAAUAAAAGUUUUUUUUUAUGGUAAAAUGAACCAUUACUUUGAAUUAUGAUAUAAGAAGGUAAUAUGCAAUUGUUUUUUUUUAAAAAAAUGUUCAUAAAUAUUAAAUGAGAAUGAAACUAUUUUGUUAUGUUUUAUUGCAUAAUGUUUACAGAAUUUUGAUGAUUAAUUAUUCUUUAUGUUUUUCUUCUGUUGUGUACAAAUUAUUGAUUCAUGAUUUUUUAUAUUUGUAAUGAAAAUUGCUUUUCAAAUCAUGAUAAAUCUUUAUUUAAAAAACAAUACUUUUAUUAAAAAACAUGGUUUUUGAAAACCAAGAAGAAAUACAUGAAUAAUAAAAGUGAUUUUUAAUUGAAAACGAUAUAUAUUUUUCUUUUUUAAUUCAAAUCAUUAAUAUUUUUAUAAAUAAAUAUUUUAAUUAUUUGUAGUUUUUAUUCAAAAACAUGCUACUAAUUAAAAAAAAAAACAUGUUCUUGUCAUACAAAAAUACAUGAAUAAGAAAUGAAAAACUCACUUAACAUAAUUUUUACACGACUAUUUGUUUUUCUCUCCACGGAAUCGGUUGGAAGUGGACUUGACAGUUAAGAAACACGUCUAUUAGAUUGGCAACAGUUCAUAUAAAUUAUACAUCCCAUUCCGUGUUUACAUAGAAUCAAAGGCGUAGCAAAUAUUGUUUUGGCCUUUUAUUUUAUUUAAUUAAUUAAUUUUAUAUAUGUUUAUUUUUGUAUUAUUUAUUUAAAUAAAAAAUUAAUCUUUGUGCAUAGAGUUAUUAAACACGAUUGUCUUGAAGAUCCAAGUUACAAGAUUAAAUAUUUUAUCUAUAUGUGAAUUUUAACUUUUUAAUUUUUAUUUUUAUUUAUCGUUAAUGAUCAUUUAUUUAUUAACAUAUGCAUUUCUCAAUUUAUUUUAUUAUAUGUAUAAAUAAGUUUUUUUUUUAAUUUUGAUUUAAAAAAAACAUUGAAAAAAUCUACAUAUUUAUUUUUUUAUAAAAAAAUUCCAACUCUAAAUCAAAUAGCUAUUAAAAACUAACCAAUGUAGGUUUGAUAUAGAGGAUAUUGGGCUGGUAUAUCAUAUUAUUACUGUUACACCAUUAAAUAGUUUUACCGACGGUUUAAGUUCGUCGGUGUGAGGCACAAAAACCAUCGGUAAUAUUUUUACCGACGGGCUCAUCGACAAAACACGUUAGUUGAAAUUUUAAUUGUUGGUAAUUUUUCUUUUCAUCACUAAUUCUAUUAAUAAUUAAAAAAAACCAAAUAUCGACGAGACAACAGUAUAUUAUUGUAAAAACUAGCCACUAUAGCUUAGAUUGAGAGGAUAGUGGGCUGAUAUAUCAUAUUGUUACUCUUAUUAACUAUUACCACUGUAUACUUAAAAAAAAUAAAAAUGUACAUUGUUGUGCUAAAUUUGGAUAGGAAUUUUAAAGAAUGGUGUUGUUUUCUUUCAUUUUUAUCAUCAAAUAUCAUUAUGAUUAUAAUUAUAAUUAUUAUUAUUGUUAUAUUCUUGCAAGUUAAAUUUGAAUUCGCUUCUUUUUAUUUAUAAGUGUAAUUUAUGCAUAUAUGAUCCCUAUAACUUUAGAAUUAUAAGUUUCAAUCAUAGACUUAUUUAUUUAUUUAUUUAUUUCAAUCUCGGAGUGUUGAGAGAUGUUAAGAAAAUAGAAAAGAAAGAAAGAAAUUCAGUCAGUCACAUUAUGGUUAUGAAAAAAGCCAAUCUUGUUAUCAAUGAAUUUGUCUUCCAAAUAUGAGUUCUAUGAAGAUGGUUUAGAAUUUUAAUCUUGUUAAAAACAGCGAUCGAGAUUUAGAAAGUUUUUUUUAUUUGGUUUGAUUUUAGAUAUUUAGACGGAUUAAAUGGUGUUUUGGAGUUAAAAUGAAUUUAAUUAAGUUCUUAAAAUGUUUUUUUUUUUAAUGUUUUGAGAUAGAAAUAAAUUGAAAAAUAGUAUUUGAAGUUGCAAAACUCAUACUUUAAAUUCAAAUCAUCAAAAUGGUAAAAAUUCAAACUAGAAUGUGGCACCCAUUGUUUCUUAUUAAAAAAGGAAUAUUAGAAAAAAUAAAGCAUGGAAUAAAAGCUUUUUUAUGGUAAAAUGAACCAUUACUUUGAAUUAUGAUAUAAGAAGGUAAUAUACAAUUGUUUUUUUUUAAAUGUUCAUAAAUAUUAAAUGAGAAUGAAACUAUUUUGUUAUUUUUUAUUGUAUAAUUUUUACAGAAUUUUGAUGAUUAAUUAUUCUUUUAUGUUUUUCUUCUGUUGUGUACAAAUUAUUGAUUCAUGAUUUUUAUAUAUUUUUUAAUGAAAAUUGCUUUUAUUAUUCAUGUAUUUCUUCUUGGUUUUCAAAAAACAUGUUACUAUAUAUUUUGUUAUUUUUUAUUGUAUAAUUUUUACAGAAUUUUGAUGCUUAAUUAUUCUUUUAUGUUUUUCUUCUGUUGUGUACAAAUUAUUGAUUCAUGAUUUUUAUAUUUUUUUUGAAUGAAAAUUGCUUUUCAAAUCAUGAUAAAUAUUUAUUUUAAAAACAAUACUUCUAUUAAAAAAACAUGUUUUUUGAAAACCAAGAAGAAAUACAUGAAUAAUAAAAGCAAUUUUUAAUUGAAAACGCUAUAUAUUUUUAUUUUUUAAUUCAAAUCAUUAAUAUUUUUAUGAAUAAAUAUUUUAAUUAUUUGUAGUUUUUAUUCAAAAACAUGCUACUAAUUAAAAAAAAACUUGUUCUUGUCAAACAAAAAUACAUGAAUAAGAAAUGAAGAACUCACAUAACAUAAUAUUUUUUUCUCUCCGCAAUUUAAAUCAUUGUAUAUUUUUUUUAAUAAAUAUUAAUUUUAAUUACCACAAAACUAAAUGAAAACAGAUUUUGAAAACCGCCACACAAGGGAAAAAAUUAGUAAAUAUAUUAAAAGAGCUAGACUUUUUAUUGUAACUCUGAUAUUGUUCAAAUAGAAAUAAAACAUCGUGGAUUACUCCGUGGAAAAACACUGCAAUCUCUAUUGUUGACCUACAAAUAAAAAAAUAUUGAUUUUAUGCUCUAGUCCCUAAAGCUUUUAAUUUUUAGUCAUUUUAAUUUAAAGUCUCUUAGUUUUUGUCUUCAAACUUCAUUUUUAUAAUAUUUCAGUUUUUAUAUUCCGAGAAAAGAGAGAGAAAUUUUUCACUCAUCCAUAUUUAUCCGACAAAAAAAUCAAUCUUAAUAUCAAUAAAUUCAUUUUAGAUUGGGAAGGUCAAUAAAAAUGCUUUUGCUCUUUAACCAUACCAAAAAAUAGAUUGAAGCAUUUUAUUAUAGCUUUGGUAUUGUUCAAGCAUUGAUAAAACCUAUGAAAUCUCUAUUGUCCAGUAAGAAAUAAAACACUGUUCAUUUUACACUUUGAUCAUUGGAGUUUUCAAUUUUUUUUCAUAUUUAAUCCAUGUAGUUUUUAUUUUGUUCAUUUUAGUCUUGGAACUUUAUUUUCACCACAUUUUUGUUCCUAGAUUCUAAGAGAGGAGAAGGAAAAUAGUUAAAAAACAAAGAAGAUAAAUAUUUUAGCUAGCCAUAAAAGAGACUAAUGUUGGUGUUAAUGAGUUAAUUUUAGAAAGAUAAAAUUAAUGGAUGUGGUAUUUCUCCUUUAACCAUGAUGGAAAAAGUAAAUUGAGGCCUGAAAUUUUUUUUUUCCUUCUUGAUUUAUGAUUUUUUAAGUGAUUAAAUAAUAUUUUGGGAUUGUAAAUGAAGUUACCAAGGUUCAUAAUAUUUAUUUUUAAUUGUUUUUAGAUGAAAAGAAGUUGAAGUUUUGAUUUUAAGGGUCCAAAUAUCUCAGAAUCUUCUAGUACUCGAAAAUUGUACCGGUAGAUAACACGUAGUCUAACCAAGCAGAUAAUGUGUUGUCUAUUUAAUUAUUUUUUUAUAUAAAAAAAUAGGUUAGACUACAUGUAUUCUGCCCUUCCUUCCAGACUUAGGUGUGAUGGCUCUUCACCUUUUGUUUUUUUCUUACAUUUUUUAUUUUUUUAAUAAAAUUAUCUUUAAAUAAAAUUAUUAAAAUUAUUUUUGAUUGAUGAGUUUAAGUAUUGAAAUUGAAAGGACAAAGAGAGAGCCAAACUUAGAAAAUAGAUGUUGGUGCAGUCUAAACUGGAACACUGUUCGGUAAUUGGGUCAUAUCUCGAGUUCCAGGUGUCCAAAUGACCUUAACUUUUUGAAAAUAUUUGGUAAGACAUAGGUCUAUAACUUUCAUGUGGAGUCCAAGAUUUAAAAAAGUCGUUUUUAAGUCCAAAUUAUAGCAACAACGGAGAAGUCCGAAUCUGUCCUGUAGCUCAGACAUUGUUCAGUGUUGAACCCAUAUCUCGAGUUCUAGAAGUCCAAAUGACCUCAAUUUUUUUUCCUGGAAAGAUAAGACAAUUUCCUAUAACUUUUGUACGUACAGGUGGUUCUAGUUCUGAUGCUAACAAUGACGUUUUAUUUAGACAAGAAGAUAAGAGUUUUCACCAAGUCAAGAGUUGGCCACCCACUUAACAAUUAGUCAUCAAAUCAAUAGUUUCAAAUUUUGGCCUAUAAAAAAAGGCAUUUGCCAUGUAUUUAGGGGCUUGGUUGUUCAUAUCAAGAACUUGUUCUUGCUCUCUUUUUUUAUAUUUGUUUUUAUAAUUAUUAAGUUUUACUUUCAUUAGUAUUUGUUUAUGCUUUUCAUUUUCUUUCCUUUACUUAGUUAAUUUGUAUCUUAUUUAUGUUCUUGUUUUGUUUAUUUAUGUUUCUCUUCUUCAUUAUGUUUAGUUAAGUUUAUUAUGUCAAGGUGAAAAAGUUACACUAAUGGUGUAAGAAUAAGUAUAGUGUAAACUCAACAUGGACCUUAAUGUUUAAUAUUAACAUGUCUUAUCUUUUUAUCUCACUAAUUCUUAAUACCUGCUUGUUAAAUGGUUAAUCUAGAUUUGUGUUGUACAAUACUUGGUACAACAAAUGUUUGACACUCUCAUAGCCUAACCGUAUGGUAUUAUGGUAUUACCUAUACCUAUGUUGUGCAAGGAACUUGAUUUGUUGUUAACAUAAGUUAGCAUCAUGAAUUCCUGAAAAUAUUUAAAAGUUUGGUAUUACUUAAAUAAGAUAAUUAAUAUAAUCAUGUUAAUAAUUUAUAAUAAGCUAUUAAUGAUAAAUCAUCCGAUUGGAACCUCUUUUGUGUGUGGUUUCUAGUUGAAUAAUAAGAGUUUAUAGUAUACUUGUUUGAAAUACCAUUAGUGGAUCCUCUAACGUUGACAUUUGUUUUUAUCAUUGUUUAAUCUUUAUAUUAAUCUUUCAUCUCAAAGUUCUCAUCAACUUUUUCUUCAUCUUCUUUAUUAUUAUUAUUGUUGUUGUUGUUGUUGUUGUUAUUGUUAUUGUUGUUGUUGUUGUUGUUGUUGUCGUUGAUGUUGUUAUAUUAUUGUUGUCUAUAAUUUAUACAAUUAACCUCCCUGUGGUUUGACCCCGUCUUGCCUGGUUAUUUAUUACUUCGACACUCUUACACUUAGAAGAAAACAUCAAUCUUUUGGUCGUGUCAAAUUGCACUAUAAGAUAGCGAUGUGUUUUUUUUUAUAUUGUUCCUUAAGAACAAAAAAGUUUAUUUUGGUACCUAUAUUUUUGAAGUUUUACAUAUUUUUUUGGUAAUGCAUUUUUACAUACUUUAGGUGCGCUCGAGCUUGAUUUUUUUUGUCCGUCACCUUUUUUCUUCUCUUUUCAAUCAAUAUUUUUGUCUUAAAAGAAAACAAAAUAAAAUUCUAUUCUAAAUAAAAUUAUUGAUAUGAUAUUAAAAACAUUAUCAUGCUGUGCUAUAAUUUUUAAAUAAAAUUAUAGUUUUUAUGGUAAUAUUAAUAAUUGUUUUAUAAAUGAUAAACAUCAACAACAACUGCAAAUUAAAUUAAUUUUGUCUUAAUGAUAAUUUUUUAAACUCAUAAAAUCGUAGCUAAUGGAGUGAUUGUUGGAGAGGUUUAUAUUUUUUAUUACAAAACUAAUAAAUCUAAAAAGGAUGAAUUAUUUUGUGUAAGAAUUUUUAGGCCUAGAAAAAUGGGAUUUGUGCUUGUGAUAAUUAUCUAGUAUUGGAGAUGAAAAGAAAGAACCAAAAUUUUAAAGGAAUAAAUAUAAUGAUAUUUUGAUUUGCAGUGUGGUAAUAAAUAGGAGCAACAUGGGAUCAUUCCUUUCAAAGCCAAAAAGAGGAAUUUAUUGAAGGGGAAAUAAGAAAUAUUUUGUUAUUCUUAAGAGGGGAUUCUUUCUUUUAAUUGUUGGUGUUCCUGUGAUUUCUUAUAUUUAGAUGUGAUUUAUUAAUAAUAAUAAAUAAAAAUAAUAAGAAAUAGAAAGAAAUUCAUCGUCUGGAUCGUAUAUCAACAUCCAAUUAUUAAAAAAAAAUGAAAAAAGAAAAGGUUCCAUCACAACUCAUAUAGAUACAAAUAGUGGAAGCAAGAAUAUUUGACAUAUUUCAUUUUUAAGCAGAAACUUGAUUUUUCUUCCUGAAGGGUUGCAGAACAUUUCCACACUUCAAGAUCUGCGUUUCCGCCCCUGGAAUCCAGACCUUAAAAGGCGAUUGAUGGGUGAAGAGAAUUACAAGAUCAAGCACGUCCCAAAUAUUUGGAUGGUUUGAGAAUCGUUGAUUUUCCAACCAAGAAAUGGAAAAACAUUAACCACAAUAGUUUCCACAGGAAGUCUUUCAAGGAUGAAAUGCUUUUGCUUUACUCCUCAAAUAUCAUCUCCUGCUUUCUGUUCAUUUACUUCAAUAUUCUGGUGAAGUAUGCUAUCCUCUACUGUCUUGUAUACCUAAAUUUGUGCAAUCUCCAGCGGAGAAACCAGUGUACUAGACUUCAAAAAAUCCAUCUUAAUGAUGAACGAUGUGUUUAUCUAUUUGCAUUUCCUUAAUAUCUGGAUUAUUAUCUAAUUAUUCUAUAGAAUUGCCCUUCUUGUAGAUUUCUUAAGGAUUGAAUCCUUAGAAAAUCAAGGAGACAGAUCUGUCUUUCGGGUUACCAGUGAAAAUUUAUUCUUGUUUUUUUCGUUUGGAAGUGGACUUGCUAGAUAAGAAACACGUCUAUUAUAUUGACAACAGUUCAUAUAAAUUAUACAUCCCAUUCCGUGUUUACAUAGAAUCAAAGGCGUAGCAGAUAUUGUGUCUACAUCGCAUUAAAAUUUGAAUAAACCAUCGGAUGCACGAGUAUGAACUACCCUGUAUCCCUAGUUAGCCUAGAUGCUACUGUGUCCUCUUAAUGUUCUCUAAUACAGGCGUGAUAAGAACAUUUUAUUUGAUGAUAGAGCUUUCUUCUCGUCCCAUGUAUCAAGUCACUACAUUUCCAUUGGUAUUGUCGAUGAUUGCUGAUAACCUCUCCAAGAAAAGGUUAAAGGCUUCUGGUGGACUAAACAUGCUUAUUCUGACAUACUUUGGACUAGCCCCAAACCUCUCCCCACUUCUUGCUAUUAUCUUAUGCUCUCUUAAACGACUCUCCCAGUCUAUAUCCUCCUUGCUGUGCAACCAUGCAAAAGCUGUUUGCAGAAAAGCAAAAUAUGUCAGAAGAGAUUUUCAAAUGAGCCUACAAUAAAGUUGGGGUGUCCUAUUUCAAAAGUAACAAAAAUAAUAUUGAUCUAAUUAUGAGCAUUACCAGGAUUUGAAUACAUGUACUUUCCAGUGAAGUUGCAGUAAUCUCGUGGGUACUUUGGCAGACUGAAGACUCUGCUGUUCUUGACAACAUUUCGCAAUCUCUCCCACCUUUCUUUCAGAAUGCUAUGGCUAUACUCAAAGAAGUUCUCUGAAUCAGCAGUCCUACAACCUUCGCCAAGCACUCCAAGAAUCUUCGCAGCUCGAAUCUGAGAUUCUUUAGAUACACCGAUGGAACUGAUCUGCAUGUAUUCAGUCAUCUUUCUAGCUACCUCUUUAUCCUUAACAAGUGCCCAGCUUCAAUUUGGAAACAAAAUAAUUAGCAGAAAGGAACAAGAAUGAACUACAAAUUAAACACAGGCAAAGAAGAAUGAUAUAUUGUUGCGAUCUUCUUAUUCCAACAAGUCAUGCAUGGCGACAUUAAUCUCUUUAACUAAAGAAUGUCCUGCUCACCCAAUCCGGGAACCAGCAUGUCCAGUGCAUUUGGAAAAUGUGAACAGCAUAAUAUCAUGAUCCAAGGGUUGAGUGAUAGGCGUGUAUUGUGGCCAGUAGUAGGCAAGGUCAUAGACAAGCUUCCCUUCUCCACGGUUCACCACAGCUUCUCGGACAGCACCGUCAGGAUUAUUCGGCGAGGUUACGACCUCAAUAUAAGGUCCAUCCUUAUCGAAGGUGUGCGCAUCUCCCUCCCAUUUAUAGAGUCCUGAACGCAGGAAUUCUGCCUGAUCUUUAUAUCCCUGCAGGCAAUGAAUAUCACAGGCACAUAAAUGAAUUAAUCUUCCACGACGAAUGAAGGGCGCCGGAGAAUUGACCUGUCCUCUUUUUUUUUCUUUUUUCUUUUCACCAUAGACGCACCAUGAGGUAAGAAACCAAUACAUGUCUUGAAUUAGUAUUUUGUCAGUCAAGUAACAUGAACAGGAAAUUAAGAAAACUUGCAAUCACAUUAUGGAUUAAUUAAUCACAUAUGCGUAAAUAAAUGCAUGUGAAUAAGCAUGCAAGCAGUCAAGCAUUUGCAACUCUGUUGAUGCCCAAUUGCAUAUGAUAUAAUUAAAUAAACUCAAGAACCGAGGUUCUGCAGCAAAGUUUGUGGAAAAUGUGGGUAACAUGCAAAGUUGUCUGCUCCAAGGACCGCAACAAGGGAGAUGGAUUUGCUAUUUUCUAAGAUGAAACAUCUUUGUUCCUGCUCGCGUAGCAAACGCCAGGCGCAAGUUCUCCCAAGUUUUGACACAAACGAGACAUGGUCAUGUUACCUAAAUCUUAGUUUCUCUUUACGAAACAUGUUUGUCGCCAUGUCUUUUGUUACAAACAGCACUCAUUUUUAUUUAUUGAUUAAUGAGUUAUUUUAUUUGUAAGAAAUACCAUUAACGUGAUGUUCUUAUUAAAUUAAGCUCUUUCUUUUUCAGAAAUAAUCUUAAUGAUCUCGCACGUACGACUUUUUCACUGAUGGCUGCGCCGGCCAAGCUUAAUUUCCUUAACCAGGCAAAGAUGGCUCUCUAAAUAAAUAAAUACAUGAGAAAUUAAAAAAGUAAACUAAAUUUAAGCAGUUCUGUUUUAUGCAAGACAAAUAAACAAAAAAAAAGAAGAUUAUAUUAGAUACUCUUGUUGGUUUGACUUUGACUUAUCAAAACUGUCUUGGCUGGUUUCAGAUCUCCUAGGUAUACAUCCUUAGAGGAUCUGACUCCUCUAAUGUUAGAGGUGACCCGCCUCAUCAUGUCAAAAAACUAAAAUUAGAACGUUGAUUUUGAAAUUUAUAAUUUGAAUUUUCUCAAAUAAAAAAAUAACUAUUAAUUUUAAAAAUAAAAAAAGAUCUGCCCACCAAGUAAAAUAAAUCUCAAAUACUGUGUUUUAGAUUAAUAUAUAGAUUUUCUUAAUAUAACGGAUCAUGCUAUCCCUAACUUAAAGGGAGAGCUCAUUCCAAUCGUUUGAAGAUCGUCAUUGAGUUCCAUGAGUAGGUUAUUAAGCCAGUAUUGAGUCUGGUUUUACACCAUCAGAUCAAGUGAAAGCAUGUAAAGACUUGCACCAAAUUAUGUAAACUGAAAGAAGUUUGAUGAGGAAGGGAGCGGUGGCUACCGAGUAAAAAGGAGCAGCAGCUACAAGACUGACGGGGUGGCGAUCAGCCGGAGAAGAGAGAGCAUACAGAGCAGCCAUUAAGAGCUGUGUUGAACCUGUCCCAACCACGAUGUGGCGAUCCUCUGUUACUGCGUUUCCAACAACACGAUGCAGUCGCUUUAUGGCAUCACCAAGUUGUGGCUGCAAAAACCAGCAAAUGUUGCUAAUAUCACUGAAAUAGCUCAUCAAAUCACACCCUUCAAUCAUCAACGUACACUUGUCUCCCAUUUUCCUCCAGUAUGGCUCGAACAACGUUGGAUCUCCCCUGCAUUUCCGCAUAACACAUCACUUCCUCGUACGUUAAGAAAAACUCUAUCCCAGAUAACAACACUACGUGAUAAUUAUACCAAACUAAAACUGUUAAACCGUAAAUGACUAUAGCCAGGCCAUUGCACCGGCGCAAUGUAGCCACAACGAGGUGGUGUAUGCUUUUAAUUUCCGAUAGAAAACAAAAGAAUUUAAUAAACGUGAACUUACUGAUCUAGAUUGAUCAUGGAAUCCGGUGAGAGACUUGUCUUUGUGGGCUUAGUUGUCGUCGGAGAAGAGUUUUGGUUAUUGGUUGCUCCAUUCUCUAAACCGCCCAUUUUUCUCUUCUCUUUUCUUCUGUUCUUUUGGUUUCCUCAACUACAGUCAGUGCUCGUGGUUUCUCGUAUACGUGCUUUGAUGGGCUAUGCAAAUACCUGUAUUUAUACUAAAUUAAUGAUGCGUCAGAAACUCUUUUUUUUUUUUUUUCAAUUCUGUAUAUGAGAGUACAUGUUAUAUUAUACGUGGGGGUGUUUUUAUUCUUGCUUUGCUUUGGUUUUUUUAUUUUUAUUAUGUUACCAAGCAUCUAGACUUUUGUAGUUAUAUUAUUCUAUAUUUUCUCAAGAAAAGUUGCAAGAUUAUCUGUCAAAUGCAAUUUUGCUUGUUUCCAUUCCAUAAUUAUUCCUAACCCAUAUUAACAUAUUAUCAUUGAUGGAAAGAUACAAUGAAUUCAAAACAUCAUAUGUGUUGUCUUAAAAAAAUUAGUUUGUAGUUAAAAAUAAUUUUUAAAAAAUAAAAACAAUAUUAUUUUAAUGUAUUUCCAAGUAAAAAGCAUUUUGAUAACAAAAUCAACUAUAUUAUCAAACAAACCCUGAAUUUUGAUGAUAACAUUUGAGAAAUUAUUAGUUUUUUUUAACGUACUAAACUGAUAUAAGGGGUGUAUUUUUAAUUUAUCUAGAAAAAAAAAAUCAAUCUCAAUACCUUUAUUGUUGAAAAAAAAACUAACAUGCAAUGUACAUAUAUCACGCUGCUCACGGGCUCCAAAACCUAUCAAAACAGAAUCUGAUCGCACGCGCGCGCGCACAUACAUGAUAUUUAAAAUACACAUAGCAUAAAUCAUGAGAGAUAUUGUAGAAAAUGAAGUUCCUAAAUGAGAAAUAAAUGAGAAACAUGCAAUAUAUCAACCAAUGAAUUAAGAGUGUAUUUAAAAAUGUGAUGGAAUCUUGCUUCUAAUUAAGGGUUUUAAAUUUUUUAUGUUUUUUAAUUAUUUUGAUGUGCUGAUAAAAAAAAAAAUUUAAAAUUCAUUUUAAAAAAAUUAUUUUAGAAAAGCUCAAUUCCCAAUCAAUUUAAUAUUGAAGGAUAGAAUCAUAAAAAAAAUCAAUUUAGAAAAAUAACUCGAGAUAACUAGUGAUAUUUUUAAAAUCAAUGAAAAAAUAAAUAAAUAAUAAUAAAGCCUACUCAGCCUAGCCUCCAAUUGAAUAAAUGAUAAAGGAUAAAAUUAAAAAAAAAUCAAGUAAACCCAGACGAACCUUCUAUAUUUAGGUUAACCUCUAAACUCACAACCCUUAAAAUCCUGGAUCUGGACUUAAUAUAGAGGCUAAAUCCCUGACCAAUUUAAUAUUAAAGGGUGAAUCCAAAAGAAACUUGGGCAUUUAUUACUUGGAUCAUAUUCGCGAUUUAUUUCCAUACUUGAACAAAUAAGAAUUUGGAAGGUUUAAAUUUUGUAAUUGUCGCUUCUAUAAUAGAACAGUUAAAUAGGAAAAACAAUAACAGUUUAAAAAACUUGUCAAAGUAAAAAAAAAAAAAACAAUAACAGUGAAAAAAGUUAGAAUCAAAUUUUAUAGGAAAAAGAGUCAAGGAAGAUGAAAAUAUGAAAAAGUUAAUUUAAAAAACCAUUUCAAACAAACCAAAUAGAAAUCAAAAAAAUGAAAAUCAAAUUUGAAAGAUUUAAAAAGUAAAAGGGGAUGAAAUUAAAAAAGAAUUCUGAUUUUAUAUAUUAUUCAAAAAAUUAUUACAAAUAUUGAAGGAUGAAAUUAAAAAAAAAAAAAUUUUAAAACUCACCCAAAGAAAAUUCAACAAAGAACAAAAAAAAAAAACCUUGAGAUAAGUUGAGUCAUUUAAAAAAUAAGUGAAAAACUCUAUAGAAAGCUAAUAAAUAAAAAUAACAGAGCUUAAUCUCUAAUUGAAUAAAUAUUAAAUGAUAAAAUUAAAAAAACAUGAGCUUAAAAAAUAAUUAAAAAAAAACAAGCAAACAUGAGCGAAUCACUUAAAGUCAAGCUAAUAUCUAAAACUUGCAACCUAUGCGAUCCUAAACCCGAACACAAUUAAGAAGCCUAAUUCAUAACUAAUUUAAUGUUGAAGGAAGAAAUCGAAAAAAAUACAAAUUUAAAAACUUUGUCAAAGUAAGAAAAAUAACAAUCAAAAGAAUGAAAAUCAAAUUUGAUAGGAAAAUAAACUUAGGGAGAAUGAAAUAAUAGAAAAAAAUAUUAAAAAUAAUCUCAAACAAAAUAAAUAGCAAUCAAUAAAUUGAAGAUCAAAUUUGAAAGAUAAAAAAAGUGGAAGAGGGGGAUGAAACUGAAAAGGAAUUCUAAUUUUGAUUAUUAUUCAAAGUAAAAUAAAUAAUAAUUAAAAAGGACAGUGACCAAAAGUUAAGAGAAAAAAUUAAAGGGAUUGGUUUGAAAUUUUGAACAAUUUGACUCAAAAUUUGAGGUGGAAAGAGAAGGAGGAAAAACAAGAAAUCGUUGUCAGUAUCAAAUACGAGGUGUGUUUAAUGCACAUGCCAUCCCGUCGUUGAGAGGAUACGAAAACCUUUUUAAAGUGUCAUUAAAUAUCGUGUUUGGUGACCAGACAAAUUGAUAAGCACCACUUGAAAGGUACUGGGAUCAUCGACUUGCUUGUGCGUGCCAUACACGUGUUUAAAGGUUUUUUUAAAAAUAAUGUUUAAUAAUAUUCAUAUAUAAAAGUGCUCUGAUUCUCUUUGAUAUUUUAAAAAAAAAGGCCACAAUAAAAGGACCGAAAGGCUCCUAAAAGAGAAUUUAGUGGAAUAUGUCAUUUAACUAUUUAAAAAUAAAAUUAAAAAUUAAAAUUAAAAUAAUCCUAAAUAUAUAUUAAUUUUUUUUUUAUUUGAGGGAUAACUAUAUAAUUUUAUUGUGCAUAAAUAAUAAGAAGAUUAAUAUGAACACAUUACAUUGCCCGUAAUGUCUAAGAUAAAGGUUUUAUUGUUUACGAAAUUUUUUGGUAUUAUGUUAUUAUAAUAAACAGUGUUUAGAUUCUUGAUUUUAAUUUUUUUAAUUUAAUUUAAUUUAAUUUGUUAGACUUUCCCUUUAUUAAUAUUUAAUAUAAGUGUGCGUUUAGAUUAGUAUUAUUAAGACAAUUGAUCUUUUUAUUAUUUUUAUUCAGUUGAUUCUCUCAAUUUUACCUAAAUUAUUUUUUAAAAUAUUUUUUUCUAUUGCUUAUGUUUUUUUCAUUAAAAAAAGGCAUAUAGCACACUCGAACGUCCACCAACACAUGAUUUGCUUUGUGCAAGAAAACAGAAAUCCAUGACUGAUGGUCGGUCGGCUUGAAUAUCAUGUGCCAUCAAUGAUGAUGAUGCAUGUGCUAUUCACUGAUAAAACAUGGGGCUUUUCAAACGUUCUUUGUAUUUAGACUUGUUAUUAUUAACAAAACAAUUAAAAGAUAAAUAAAUUAAAAUAUUGUUUCGGUUUCACGAGUGAGAUGAACAGUUAAACAACUGGCUUUCUUUUUUUCAUUUUCUUUUUUAUCUUUUAUCAUACCUUUUUAUAUAGCCUAUUUAGAAAACAAUUAGGCUUGGAAUUAUAAUAAAAAUAUAAAAUUUAAAGAUAAAAAAUUAACAAGUAAAAUAUAAAUAAAAUAUAUAGCAAACCACACAAUAAAAGUCCUUCUAUUUCAUUUGUAAUUAUAAAUUCAAUUCAAUAUUAAUUUAGAUGUUUAUUUUUCACCCACUUUUGUGUAAAACGUGCUAGCCUGACUUGCCAGACCCAACAUCACUUGAUUUUUUUAAAAAAAAAAUAUUUUUUUAAUUAAUGCCCUUAUAUAUAUAUAUAUAUAUAUUCAAAAUAAUUUUUAAAUUUAUAUGUAAAUAAUGCCUCAUUUUUCUUUUAUUUUGUUUAUCUAGACUCUUUUAAAUAAAUAUUAGUUUUUAGUUAUUUUAUAUGCAUUUAAAUUUUAGAGAGAUUAUUUUAAUUCAUCUAUAUUUUUUAUAUAUUUUAUAUAAAUGAAAUUUAUUUUAAAAAAAUUUAAAUAUUUAUUUUUGGAUAAUAUUUUUAAUAUAUGUAAUCUUGUAUAAUAUUUUUUUUUAUCUUUUAUUUAUUAAUUAAUUUCAUGUGUAUCUAUUUUUAUUAUCACUUAUUUAAAUAAAAAAUUAAUUUUUGUAAACAGAGUUGUGAAUUUUUGUAAAUUAAUUUUUAUUAUCUUGGUCUAUAUGUGACUUUCAAUUUUUUAGUUUUUAUCUUUAUUUAUCAUUAAUGACUUUUUAUUUAUUUAUUUAUUAAUAUAUAUUAAUUUAUUUUAUUAGAUGUACCUAUAAGUUUUUUAAUUUUAAUUAAAAAAAAUUUAAAAACAUAUAUAUUUAUUUUUUAUAUAUAAAAAAAAAUCCUUCCCACAACAAAGUACAAGUGAAAGAGCUAUUAAAAACUAGCCAGUAUAGGUUUGAUAAAGAGGAUAUUGGGCUGGUAUAUCAUAUUAUUACUGUUAUUAAUUUUUACCACUAUAUAAUAAAAAAUAACAACAGUGCAUUAUUGUGCUCAAUUUGGGCGGGACUUGUCGCACGUGUGUGGCGGCACGGCGAUCGUCCACCCUCAAGGAAAAAUCAGAAUAAUUUAUUCCUGGCAAAUAAAAUAGGGAGAGACAAGGAAUUCUUGUCUCUACAAGUGAAAAUAUGGACUGGGAGUCGCCACCUAGUAUUCUGGUUACUAGGAACCUUAACUGGUCUUUAGAGAUCGGGUACGGAGACUAGUUGCGUAAAGGGAAGGUAUUAGCACCACAACUACGUCCUACUUAAGGUAGACUGCAUUGUUUUAAUGUCUGAUAAAAUCUAAAAUCGUGUUGUGGUUUUUUUGAAUUUUUGGUUCGUUUACGGUUUAAGAAAAGUCCUCCUCUGUAAGGAGGUCCUUAUCUUUAUCGGGUAAAAAAAGUACUAUUCGAAGUCGUCAAAAGAAAAUAUUUUUUUAAUAUCAGGAAUACGAUUUACGCAUAAAUUCAUAAUCCCUGAUACUAAAAUCAAACAAAAUAAAAUAUUUGUUGUUUUUUGAAAUUUUGGCCAAUGUUCUCUUGACUUUAAUAAACUGGUUAUUAAAGCCAAAAUGCAUGCUAAAAUAUUGUUUUUUGACAUAUGAAAAAUACGAUAUGAUUUUUUAGAUUUGAGACACUUGGCCGUAUGUACAAAAACAUUUUUUUAUCUUUUUUUCAAUUUUUUUUUAUUUUUGGAAGUUUUUGCCGAAAACCGAGUAUUUUAAUACCGGAUUUAUAUUUUUACGAUGUAAAAAUACUGCCCGAUAUCAAUCAAAAUGACAUACAAACGACGCGGAAAAAUUAUAAAAUGCCGAAACAAAUAUUUUUGAUUUUUUAUGUUGUGUGAACAGUACCGCGGGACGAAAACCGGGUAUUUUAAUACCGAAUUUAUAUUUUUACGAUGUAAAAUACAGACCGAUAUUAAGCAAAAUUGAUAAAAAAAAAAAUGUGCUAAAAAAUUGUAAAAAAACUUCUGAAAAAAAAAAUUGAAAAAAAAAAAUUGAAAUGGGCCGGGUCCGGUAACCAGCCCUCUUCAGCUGCAGAACGUGAAUUAAUUCACGUUCUGCAUGCAAACGAGGGAGGCAGCAAACGGAGAAGGCGACAGGGCGGCGAGAGAUUACCUGCGGUGACGUCGUGGCGGUGCUGCCGGCGGCGUAGGCACGGUGGCGGAGGCCGGCGGUGGUUCUCUCUCUCUCUCUUCUGUUUUUCUUCGUUUUCUUCCCUGCUGCUUCUUCUUCUUCUUCUUCUUCUCUGCCCUCUCUCUUCUCUUCUCUUCUAUCUCGGUUCGUCUCCCUCUCCCCUCUGUUCUUCCUCUCCUUCUUCGGUUCCCUUCCCCUGUUUUUAUAGGCAAAAACAGGGGAAGGCCGAAUGGUGGGGCGGCCACUAUUGGCCGCCCCUCCACUAUCUGUUCAAAAGGUGGCAAGUGGGCUGGUGUGGUAGGUGUCUUAUUGCGCAAAAAUAGGGAAAGAGGUUAGGCGAAAAGGGAGAAGAAAAAUCUUCUUCUUCCCCUGCCUCGCGUGUCCAGGGGAAGAAGAAGAGCUACAGUGCCGUCAAAACGGCACCGUUUUGGGCAUCUGUAUUUUAUUUUUUUUUUUUUUGCAACAGUGAAUGAAACGGCGCCGUUUUGGUCAAAACGCGCCGUUUCAUUUAAAAGGAAAAGGCGCCAAAAGCAUCAGAUUCAAAUUUCGGCCCUCCAUUUGCGCGCGUUUUACAAUUUAGUCCUUGGUCUCGGAUUUCUUCAAUUAAGUCCCUAAUUGGCCAUUAAACUUCAAUAUUUAUGCAAUUAAGCCCCUAAUUUGACCAAAUUAACUUCCAAAAAUUUAAAUUUGACCCCAGAAAAUUAAUUCCUCCUAAUUAAAGCCCAAAUUAACUCCAAAAUCAAUUUUUCUUGCAAUUAAAAUCUUCAUAAAUGCAAUUAAACCUUCAAUAAAAUUUAAUUGAGUCCAUAAACUUCUAAUUUUGCAUUUUUCUUCCUCAAAAUUGAAUUUUCUUUAUCAUCGGGGCUCUCAUCAGUCAAUGAUAUACUGUCAAAAAUUAAUUUUUAUACUUUUGAACAUCCUCAAUCAAUUUUUGAACAUUUUUAGAGCGCUCUGGCAUUUUUUCACUGUUAUAUUUUUUGAUAAUAUAUUUUUUUGAAUUUUUUUAUAUUUUUUUUUAUGUGGGGACCCAAAAAUGGGUUACAACAGGACUUUUCAAGAACAAUGUUGUUUUCUUUCAUUUUGGUCAUCAAUGAUGAUGUUGUUUUUGCGUAUUCUUGGAAGUUAAAUUUGAAUUUGCUUCUCUUUGUACUCAUUGUUUUAGAGACAUAAGAAUUUGAAUUUAUAGUAAAAAAAAAUUAAAAAAACAAGUACCAAAAUAACUAAUAACAAUAUUAUCUAUUGUUCGAAUGAUGCAUAAAAAUAUAAUUUCAUCCUUAAAGUUUAAUUUAUGCAUAUUUGAUCUCUAUAGUCUUAGAAUUAUAUGUUUCAAUCUUGGACUUCUUUUUUUAUUUAUUUAUUUUAGUCUUUAAGUGUAGAGAGAUGCUAGAAAAAAAAGAAAAAAAAGACAUCACUCAGUCAGUUAAAAAAAUCAAUCUUGUUAUCAAUAAAUUUGUCUUACAUAAAUAAGUUCUAUAAAGAUGGUUUAGAAUUUUUAUCCGGUUAAAGUCAAAAACACAAAUUGAGGCUUAGAAUUUUUUUUUCUUUGGUUUGAUUCUAGAUGUUUAAUAGAUUGGAGGGCAUUUUGGGGUUAAAAUGAGUUUAAAGAGGUUCUUAAUAUAUACAUGUGUGUGUGUGUGUUUUAAAGUAAAAAUAAGUUGAAAAAUAGGUUUUGAAGUUGUAGAACUCAUACUUUAAAUUCAAAUAAUCAUGAAAGGUCAAAAUUCAAACUAGAAUGUGGUGCCUAUUGUUUUUUAUUAAAAAAAAAUAUUAGAAAAAAUAAAGCAUGGAAUAAAAGAUUUUUUAUGGUAAAAUUAACCAUUACUUUGUGAAUUAUGAUAUAAGAAGGUAAUAUGCAAAGUUUUUUAAAAAAUGUUCAUAACUAUUAAAUGAGAAUAAAACUAUUUUGUUAUUUUUUAUUAUAUAAUUUUUACAUAAUUUUGAUGAUUAAUUAUUCUUUUAUGUUUUUCUUCUAUUGUGUACAAAUUAUUGAUUCAUGAUUUUUAUAUUUUUUUAAUGAAAAUUUCUUUUCAAAUCAUAAUAAAUCUUUAUUUAGAAAACAAUACUUCUAUUAAAAAACAUGUUUUCUAGAAACAAGAAAGAAAUGCAUGAAUAAUAAAAGCGAUUUUUAAUUGAAAACGAUACAUUUUUCCCUUUUUUAAUUCAAAUAAUUAAUAUUUUUAUGAAUAUUUAUUUUAAUUAUUUUUAGUUUUUAUUCAAAAACAUGCUACUAAUUAAAAAAAAAAACAUGUUCUUGUCAAACAAAAAUACAUGAAUAAAAAUUGAAAAACUCACCUAACAAAAUAUUUUUUUUCUCCACAAUUUAAAUCUUUGUGUUUUUUUUUACAAAUAUCAAUUUUAAAUACCACAAAACUAGAUGAAAAAAGAUUUUGAAAACCGCCGCAUAAGGGAAAAAAUUAGUAAAUAUAUUAAAAGAGCUAGACUUUUUAUUGUAACUCUAUAUUGUUCAAAUAGAAAUAAAACAUUGUGAAUUACUUCGUAGAAAAACAAAGCAAUCUCUAUUGUUCACCUACAAAUAAGACAAUAUUAAUUGUAUACUCUAGCCCCUAAAGCUUUUAAUUUUUUAAUUUUUGGUCCUUUUAGUUUAAAGCCCGUUAGUUUUGGUCUUUAAAUUUCAUUUUUAUAAUAUUUCAUACCCUGUAUUCUAAGAGAGGAGAGAACAACUUCUUACUGAUUCAUAUUUAUUUCACACAAAAAUCAAUCAUAGUAUUAAUAAGUUCGUCAUCUUAGAAAGAAAAUGUAAAAUGAAGGUGCCUUUUCUAUUUAACUACACCUAAAAAUAGAUCAAAACAUUUUAUUAUAGAAACAAAACACUAUUCAUUUUACACUUUUAUCAUUGUAGUUUUUAAAUUUUUUUUUCAUAUUCGAUCCAUGUAAUUUUUGUUUUGUUCAUUUUAGUUUUCAAACUUUAUUUUCAUCACAUUUUUGUUCCUGGAUUCUAAGAGAGGAGAAAGAAAAUUGUUGAAAAACAAAAAAAAAUAUAUUUUUUAGCUAGCCAUAAAAGAGACUAAUCUUGGUGUUAAAAACUUCAUUCCAAUUAUUAGGAAUUUUUAUUGAAUUUCUUUAAGUUUGUACGGAAAAAACCAUGUUGUUGAUAAAAACAAAAAUCAUGGCUAUGUCAAAUUAUUGAAAUUAUUUCAAGUAUUUAUUUUAAUAGUCAUAAAAUCAAAUAUAAGCAGGUUUUAAAAUGACCCUGCGACUUCCUGUGGAUAACAAACUAGUAAACUAAACUAAAAUUGAGAAUAAAAUUGUAUUUUAAUCACAUUGUUUUUGUCUGUUACCUUUUUUCUUCUCUUUUCAAUCAAUUUUUUGUCUUAAAAAAUAGAGAAUAAAAUUGUAUUCUAAAUAAAAUUAUUGAGACGAUAUGCCAUGCUACAAUUUUUAAAUAAAAUUAUAGCUUUUAUGGUAAUAUUAAUAAUUGUUUUAUAAAUGAUAGACAUCAAUAACUAUGAAUUAAAUUAAUUUUUUCUUAAUGAUAAUUUUUCAAACUCAUAAAAUUGUAGCUAAUGGAGUGAUUAUUGGAGAGGUUUCAAAACUUUAUACUUUUUAUUACAAAACUAAUAAAUCUAAAAAAAAUGAAUUAUUUUGUGUAAGAAUUUUUAGGCCUAUAAAAAUAGGAUUUGUGCUUCUGAUAAUUUUUUUGUAUUGGAGAUGAAAAGAAAGAAUAAAAAAUUUUAAAAGGAUAAAUAUAAUGAUAAUUUGAUUUUCAGUGUGGUAAUAAAUAGGAGCAACAUGCAUGGGAUCAUUCCUUUUAAAACCAAAAAGAAGAAUUUAUUGAAGGGGAAAUAAGAAAUAUUUUGUUAUUCCUAAGAGUGGAUUCUUUUUUUUUAAUUGUUGGCGGUCAUAUGAUUUUUUAUAUUUAGACGUGAUUUGUUAAUAGUAAUAAAUAAAGAUAAUAAGAAAUAGAAAGAAAUUGAUCACCUGGAUCGUGUAUAGAAUAAAUAGUUUAAUGGAAGUCAGAAUUUUCAAAAAUAUUUGGAACAUUUCAUUUUUAAAUAGAUGAUUUUUUUUUCAAGUGUUCACAAUUAUAUAUUAAUCAAGCUAAUCCUUUGAAUCUAGAUCAAACUUGUAACCAUGUUUUUUUCAAGUCUGGCACCAAUCAAUUCGACUACAAAGAAUAAUUUUUAUUAAAAUAUGUGCAAUUUAUUAAAAACUUUCUUUAGAUAUAAAAUUUUGAGUAUUCAAUGAACCUAAUAUGCAUAUUUUUUUAAACAAAUUGCUUAUGAAUAUUGUAUGAAAAUAAAAUAUUUUUUUCUUUAUUAAAAAUAUUUUAUAUAAUUUUAUUAAAUUAAUUAUUCUUCUAUUUUUUUCAUAUAGUCAUGUAAAAAUUACCAAAGCAUUUGUUUGUUUGUUUGUUUACUGUGUCUUGUUUUUCAAAUCUAUAGGCAACUAGAUAAGCAAAUUAAAAUCUGCAGCAACCAUCCUUUGACAAAUGUUAUGAAUUUAGGCUAUGGGGUAGGUGGGAGGGUCGGAUUUUUUUAAUAACCAAGCAUUAUAUACUUUAUCUUUCGGCCCCCACCAACGCAGGAAGCACCUCGGCUGGUUCGUUGCCAUCACAGACGUUGACUUCAAAUAUUACUAGAUACAAAGUAAAUAAUCUUACAAUACUGUGAUGCACAGCAGAUGCAAAUCAGGACUUCAUUAGGGUUUGUCUGAGCUUGUAAUAUCCAACCAUGCCUUAUUUCAACUUCACUCAAGAGAUAGGCGAACCUGACUUGGUUACCGGGGAAAUUCCGGGGAUUAAAUCUGAAGCUAGUUUUUUUCUAAGCACAUCAGCAGCAGAAGGAUUACGCUCAUCAAGAGUCGCUGACAUCACAGGUGAGAGUUCUUCUUCAGAAUCUUUCAAAUCAAAUUAUGCAAAGCUUCCUGAUUACCUUAAGUCAUGCCUAGACUACUCUGCCAUUGUUUGUGGGAGAUAUGGUGUAGAGAUAGGAAAACUAGUUCGGCUUUUGUUGGCUGAAGGUCUUAUAGAAGACAGACCAGGGGAUAUCAUGGAGGAUGUAGCAGCAAAUGUUCUCAAGGAAUUGAUUGACCUAGGAAUGCUUCAAGAAGAACGACAAGGGACUGAAGUAAAAGUCCCUGCAUCGUAUCUCCGGUUAUGUAUUCUUAAAUUGGAGAAACAAGAUUUUGUUUCUAAAACUGCAAACUCACCUGUGCGUUUAGGGAUCAGAGAUGAUGGAAGGGAUAUCUAUCCUAAAGUUGAAGGCCUUCUAAUUCAUUCUCUGUUUAUUCUCGGUGCAGACCGCCGUGC
rnacentral:lncRNA from 1 species